GAGUUUGAUCGUGGCUCAGAUUGAACGCUGGCGGCAGGCUUAACACAUGCAAGUCGAGCGGGGGAGAUUGCUUCGGUAAUUGACCUAGCGGCGGACGGGUGAGUAAUACUUAGGAAUCUGCCUAUUAAUGGGGGACAACAUCUCGAAAGGGAUGCUAAUACCGCAUACGCCCUACGGGGAAAGACAGGGGAGUCACUUGUGACCUUGCGUUAAUAGAUGAGCCUAAGUCGGAUUAGCUAGUUGGUGGGGUAAAAGGGCCUACCAAGGCGACGAUCUGUAGCGGGUC
rnacentral:rRNA from 1 species